GGGUUGUGAGGUUAAGCGACUAAGCGUACACGGUGGAUGCCCUGGCAGUCAGAGGCGAUGAAGGGCGUGCUAAUCUGCGAUAAGCGCCGGUAAGGUGAUAUGAACCGUUAUAACCGGCGAUACCCGAAUGGGGAAACCCAGUGUGAUUCGUCACACUAUCAUUAACUGAAUCCAUAGGUUAAUGAGGCGAACCGGGGGAACUGAAACAUCUAAGUACCCCGAGGAAAAGAAAUCAACCGAGAUUCCCCCAGUAGCGGCGAGCGAACGGGGAGGAGCCCAGAGCCUGAAUCAGCAUGUGUGUUAGUGGAAGCGUCUGGAAAGGCGCGCGAUACAGGGUGACAGCCCCGUACACAAAAGCGCAUGUGCUGUGAGCUCGAUGAGUAGGGCGGGACACGUGGUAUCCUGUCUGAAUAUGGGGGGACCAUCCUCCAAGGCUAAAUACUCCUGACUGACCGAUAGUGAACCAGUACCGUGAGGGAAAGGCGAAAAGAACCCCGGCGAGGGGAGUGAAAAAGAACCUGAAACCGUGUACGUACAAGCAGUGGGAGCACAGGUUUACCUGUGUGACUGCGUACCUUUUGUAUAAUGGGUCAGCGACUUAUAUUCUGUAGCAAGGUUAACCGAAUAGGGGAGCCGGAGGGAAACCGAGUCUUAAUUGGGCGUUAAGUUGCAGGGUAUAGACCCGAAACCCGGUGAUCUAGCCAUGGGCAGGUUGAAGGUUGGGUAACACUAACUGGAGGACCGAACCGACUAAUGUUGAAAAAUUAGCGGAUGACCUGUGGCUGGGGGUGAAAGGCCAAUCAAACCGGGAGAUAGCUGGUUCUCCCCGAAAGCUAUUUAGGUAGCGCCUCGUGAAUUCAUCUCCGGGGGUAGAGCACUGUUUCGGCUAGGGGGCCAUCCCGGCUUACCAACCCGAUGCAAACUGCGAAUACCGGAGAAUGUUAUCACGGGAGACACACGGCGGGUGCUAACGUCCGUCGUGAAGAGGGAAACAACCCAGACCGCCAGCUAAGGUCCCAAAGUCAUGGUUAAGUGGGAAACGAUGUGGGAAGGCCCAGACAGCCAGGAUGUUGGCUUAGAAGCAGCCAUCAUUUAAAGAAAGCGUAAUAGCUCACUGGUCGAGUCGGCCUGCGCGGAAGAUGUAACGGGGCUAAACCAUGCACCGAAGCUGCGGCAGCGACGCUUAUGCGUUGUUGGGUAGGGGAGCGUUCUGUAAGCCUGCGAAGGUGGCCUGUGAGGGUUGCUGGAGGUAUCAGAAGUGCGAAUGCUGACAUAAGUAACGAUAAAGCGGGUGAAAAGCCCGCUCGCCGGAAGACCAAGGGUUCCUGUCCAACGUUAAUCGGGGCAGGGUGAGUCGACCCCUAAGGCGAGGCCGAAAGGCGUAGUCGAUGGGAAACGGGUUAAUAUUCCCGUACUUGGUGUUACUGCGAAGGGGGGACGGAGAAGGCUAUGUUGGCCGGGCGACGGUUGUCCCGGUUUAAGCGUGUAGGUGUGUGUUCCAGGUAAAUCCGGUUCACUUUAACACUGAGGCGUGACGACGAGGCACUACGGUGCUGAAGCAACAAAUGCCCUGCUUCCAGGAAAAGCCUCUAAGCAUCAGGUAACAUCAAAUCGUACCCCAAACCGACACAGGUGGUCAGGUAGAGAAUACCAAGGCGCUUGAGAGAACUCGGGUGAAGGAACUAGGCAAAAUGGUGCCGUAACUUCGGGAGAAGGCACGCUGACACGUAGGUGAAGUGAUUUACUCAUGGAGCUGAAGUCAGUCGAAGAUACCAGCUGGCUGCAACUGUUUAUUAAAAACACAGCACUGUGCAAACACGAAAGUGGACGUAUACGGUGUGACGCCUGCCCGGUGCCGGAAGGUUAAUUGAUGGGGUCAGCGCAAGCGAAGCUCCUGAUCGAAGCCCCGGUAAACGGCGGCCGUAACUAUAACGGUCCUAAGGUAGCGAAAUUCCUUGUCGGGUAAGUUCCGACCUGCACGAAUGGCGUAAUGAUGGCCAGGCUGUCUCCACCCGAGACUCAGUGAAAUUGAACUCGCUGUGAAGAUGCAGUGUACCCGCGGCAAGACGGAAAGACCCCGUGAACCUUUACUAUAGCUUGACACUGAACAUUGAGCCUUGAUGUGUAGGAUAGGUGGGAGGCUUUGAAGUGUGGACGCCAGUCUGCAUGGAGCCGACCUUGAAAUACCACCCUUUAAUGUUUGAUGUUCUAACGUGGACCCGUUACCCGGGUUGCGGACAGUGUCUGGUGGGUAGUUUGACUGGGGCGGUCUCCUCCUAAAGAGUAACGGAGGAGCACGAAGGUUGGCUAAUCCUGGUCGGACAUCAGGAGGUUAGUGCAAUGGCAUAAGCCAGCUUGACUGCGAGCGUGACGGCGCGAGCAGGUGCGAAAGCAGGUCAUAGUGAUCCGGUGGUUCUGAAUGGAAGGGCCAUCGCUCAACGGAUAAAAGGUACUCCGGGGAUAACAGGCUGAUACCGCCCAAGAGUUCAUAUCGACGGCGGUGUUUGGCACCUCGAUGUCGGCUCAUCACAUCCUGGGGCUGAAGUAGGUCCCAAGGGUAUGGCUGUUCGCCAUUUAAAGUGGUACGCGAGCUGGGUUUAGAACGUCGUGAGACAGUUCGGUCCCUAUCUGCCGUGGGCGCUGGAGAACUGAGGGGGGCUGCUCCUAGUACGAGAGGACCGGAGUGGACGCAUCACUGGUGUUCGGGUUGUCAUGCCAAUGGCACUGCCCGGUAGCUAAAUGCGGAAGAGAUAAGUGCUGAAAGCAUCUAAGCACGAAACUUGCCCCGAGAUGAGUUCUCCCUGAGACUUAAAGUCUCCUGAAGGAACGUUGAAGACGACGACGUUGAUAGGCCGGGUGUGUAAGCGCAGCGAUGCGUUGAGCUAACCGGUACUAAUGAACCGUGAGGCUUAACCUUACAACGCCGAAG
rnacentral:rRNA from 1 species